rnacentral:rRNA from 1 species
UACGUAGGGCGCAAGCGUUGUCCGGAAUUAUUGGGCGUAAAGAGCUCGUAGGCGGCCAGUUGCGUCUGCUGUGAAAUCCCGGGGCUCAACCCCGGGCGUGCAGUGGAUACGGGCUGGCUAGAGGCAGGCAGGGGAGAACGGAAUUCCCGGUGUAGCGGUGAAAUGCGCAGAUAUCAGGAGGAACACCGGUGGCGAAGGCGGGUCUCUGGGCCGAUAUUGACGCUGAGGAGCGAAAGCGUGGGGAGCGAACAGG